rnacentral:rRNA from 1 species
GACGAACCGUGCGAACGUUAUUCGGAAUCACUGGGCUUAAAGCGCAUGUAGGCGGGCCGCCGCGUCGGCUGCUGAAAUCCCCCCGGCUCAACCGGGGAACGGGCACCGAUACGGGCGGCCUCGAGGGGGGUAGGGGGGCCUGGAACUUCCGGUGGAGCGGUGAAAUGCGUUGAGAUCGGAAGGAACACCUGUGGCGAAGGCGGCCCCCUGGGCCCGGCCUUGACACUGAGACGCGAAGGCGUGGGGAGCGAACAGG